GUAAAGGGAGCGCAGGCAGGAAGACAAGUUGGAAGUGAAAUCCAUGGGCUCAACCCAUGAACUGCUUUCAAAACUGUUUUUCUUGAGUAGUGCAGAGGUAGGCGGAAUCCCGGUGUAGCGGUGGAAUGCGUAGAUAUCGGGAGGAACACCAGUGGCGAAGGCGGCCUACUGGGCACCAACUGACGCUGAGGCUCGAAAGUGUGGGUAGCAAACAGGAUUGGAUACCCUGGUAGUCCACACUGUAAACGAUGAUUACUAGGUGUUGGAGGAUUGACCCCUUCAGUGCCGCAGUUAACACAAUAAGUAAUCCACCUGGGGAGUACGACCGCAAGGUUGAAACUCAAAGGAAUUGACGGGGGCCCGCACAAGCAGUGGAGUACGUGGUUUAAUUCGACGCAACGCGAAGAACCUUACCAAGUCUUGACAUCCUGCGACGCACAUAGAAAUAUGUGUUUCCUUCGGGACGCAGAGACAGGUGGUGCAUGGUUGUCGUCAGCUCGUGUCGUGAGAUGUUGGGUUAAGUCCCGCAACGAGCGCAACCCUUAUGGUCAGUUACUACGCAAGAGGACUCUGGCCAGACUGCCGUUGACAAAACGGAGGAAGGUGGGGAUGACGUCAAAUCAUCAUGCCCUUUAUGACUUGGGCUACACACGUACUACAAUGGCGUUAAACAAAGAGAAGCAAGACCGCGAGGUGGAGCAAAACUCAGAAACAACGUCCCAGUUCGGACUGCAGGCUGCAACUCGCCUGCACGAAGUCGGAAUUG
rnacentral:rRNA from 1 species